GUCUCAAAGAUUAAGCCAUGCAUGUCUAAGUAUAAGCAAUCUAUACCGUGAAACUGCGAAUGGCUCAUUAAAUCAGUUAUCGUUUAUUUGAUAGUACCUUACUACUUGGAUAACCGUGGUAAUUCUAGAGUUAAUACAUGCUAAAAACCCCGACUUCGGAAGGGGUGUAUUUAUUAGAUAAAAAACCAAUGC
rnacentral:rRNA from 1 species